UACGUAGGGAGCAAGCGUUGUCCGGAUUUACUGGGUGUAAAGGGCGUGUAGGCGGAGACGCAAGUCAGGAGUGAAAUCCCCGGGCUCAACCCGGGGAACUGCUUUUGAAACUGCGUCCCUUGAGUAUCGGAGAGGCAGGCGGAAUUCCUAGUGGUAGCGGUGAAAUGCGUAGAUAUUAGGAGGAACACCAGUGGCGAAGGCGGCCUGCUGGACGACAACUGACGGUGAGGCGCGAAAGCGUGGGGAGCAAACAGG
rnacentral:rRNA from 1 species